GUUAACAAUUCUCCGCAACGCGAAGGUUCCUUUUCCCCCCCGCGUGAAGCCUUCUUUUUACGUGACGCGAAGCGAUCUGCGUUAGGGCUUUGUCGCCUCUCGGCGAUAAGAUCGCCAAGCCUCUUUUCCCCGAUCUGCGUUAGGGUUUUGUUCGCCUCUCGACGGUAAGAUCGCGAAGCCUCCUUUUCCCCAUCCUAAUCGAGUGAGUCUACCCUCGGCCAGACUGCGCCGCCGCCUGCGACCAAUAGCCUAUGCACCGCUCUCGUCCGCCCUUCCGGCUACCCCUGCUUCGAACACACGGUGGUUGAGCACGUUGGCCAUCGUCUUGCCGGAGACGCAUAUCACCAUCCUCUCCCACCGUCGGGGUCGUUGGCGUUGAACUUGGUCAGCACGUUCUUGAAGCUCUUGUUCUGCUCAUGUGUUGCACCCCUUCGGGCAGAGGAACAAGAUCGUGCUGGGGUAGCGAGGCGCUGCCAUCGCUGACGGGAGAACCUCCAUCCAUGGUGGCGCCAUUAAUCGAAAUCAAGAACACGAGAAGGAGGAUUAAGAUGGAAAGAAAUCAAGAACACGAGAAGGAGGAUUAAGAUGGAAAGAAAUCAAGAACAUGAUCAGAUCUCUUGGAGAAGGCCUUUCCUCCUCUUUCUCUAUCAAAACUCCUGCUCGAAACUUCCAAGGAUUUUUCCCUCGAUUACCGACCGAAAAGGAUGAGAUUUCCAAUGAUACUUUCUCCUCUUCCGCUCCCAAAAGAUCAAAACUUUAAACACUUGCAGAUACAUUUUGUCCUUUGCUAUAAAUUGAUGAUUCGAAUGCACUAAUUAAUGCUCAUUUUAUUCACUAAUUAAUGCUCAUUUUAUU